AGUGAACGCUGGCGGUAGGCCUAACACAUGCAAGUCGAACGGCGGCACAGUAAGAGCUUGCUCUUACGGGUGGCGAGUGGCGGACGGGUGAGGAAUACAUCGGAAUCUACUUUUUCGUGGGGGAUAACGUAGGGAAACUUACGCUAAUACCGCAUACGACCUACGGGUGAAAGCAGGGGAUCUUCGGACCUUGCGCGAUUGAAUGAGCCGAUGUCGGAUUAGCUAGUUGGCGGGGUAAAGGCCCACCAAGGCGACGAUCCGUAGCUGGUCUGAGAGGAUGAUCAGCCACACUGGAACUGAGACACGGUCCAGACUCCUACGGGAGGCAGCAGUGGGGAAUAUUGGACAAUGGGCGCAAGCCUGAUCCAGCCAUACCGCGUGGGUGAAGAAGGCCUUCGGGUUGUAAAGCCCUUUUGUUGGGAAAGAAAAGCAGCAGGUUAAUACCCCGCUGUUCUGACGGUACCCAAAGAAUAAGCACCGGCUAACCUCGUG
rnacentral:rRNA from 1 species